rnacentral:rRNA from 1 species
AUACGUAGGGGGCGAGCGUUGUCCGGAAUGACUGGGCGUAAAGGGCGUGUAGGCGGCGCUGUAAGUCUGGAGUGAAAGUCCCGUUUUCAAGGCGGGAACUGCUUUGGGUACUGCAGAGCUUGAGUGCGGAAGAGGUAAGGGGAAUUCCCAGUGUAGCGGUGAAAUGCGUAGAGAUUGGGAGGAACACCAGUGGCGAAGGCGACUUACUGGGCCGUAACUGACGCUGAGGCGCGAAAGCGUGUGGAGCGAACAGGAUUAUAUACCCUGGUAGUCCACGCUGUAAACGAUGGAUACUAGGUGUAGGGGGUAUCGACUCCCUCUGUGCCGGAGCGAACGCAAUAAUUAUCCCGCCUGGGGAGUACGGCCGCAAGGUUGAAACUCAAAGGAAUUGACGGGU